rnacentral:rRNA from 1 species
AAUGAACGUUGGCGGCGUGGAUUAGGCAUGCAAGUCGAGCGCUCAUAGCAAUAUGGGAGCGGCGAACGGCGUAGUAAUAUGUAGGAACGUACCCUCGGGUCGGGGAUAGCCAUGGGAAACUGUGGGUAAUACCCGAUAAUCUCUGCGGAGCAAAGGUGUGAUUCCGCCUGAGGAGCGGCCUACACGAUAUUAGCUAGUUGGUAGGGUAAUGGCCUACCAAGGCUACGAUGUCUAGGGGGUGUGAGAGCAUGGCCCCCACGACCGGAACUGAGAUACUGUCCGGACACCUACGGGUGGCUGCAGUCGAGAAUCUUCCGCAAUGGACGAAAGUCUGACGGAGCGACGCCGCGUGCGGGAUGAAGGCCCUUGGGUUGUAAACCGCUGUCAGAGGGGAUGAAAUCUUCGGAGGUGCUCCUCCAAAGUUGACAGAGCCUCAAAGGAAGCACGGGCUAAGUACGUGCCAGCAGCCGCGG